rnacentral:rRNA from 1 species
UACGGGGGGGCAAGCGUUGUUCGGAAUUACUGGGCGUAAAGGCUCGUAGGCGGCCAACUAAGUCAGACGUGAAAUCCCUCGGCUUAACCGGGAACUGCGUCUGAUACUGGAUGGCUUGAAUCCGGAGAGGGAUGCGGAAUUCCAGGUGUAGCGGUGAAAUGCGUAGAUAUCUGGAGGAACACCGGUGGCGAAGGCGGCAUCCUGGA